rnacentral:lncRNA from 1 species
AUCUUCUAUAUAUUGAACGAAAUAGGUAUAAUUACAGCGUCCUAUCCUAUAAUUGUCCAAUUCAAAACUUAAUACAUUAAUCAGUCCUUUUUUAUUCUAAGAACUACAUUUCUGGUGUACGGUGUCCUAAGCGCUUGACUCUUAUAACGUCUUCUUGAUCCAAUCCUAAUAUACGUCUUCAAAGGUGAUUGCUUGUUGGACAUUCCUCCUUCUUGGUUGUUGGAGAUUCCACCCUGUUCGUUGUUGGACAUUCCACCUGGGAAAACAAAACCACUGUUAGUGAAUGGUUCUGCAUGUCCCGCACUUUGUUCACCAUCAUCAUUACUUGUUCUUCUACCCUUCUCUUACGCCACCUCUGCCUCUAUGACAUUCACCCUCCUUUUAAGUUUUUCAAUAACAGAUUCCUGCUCCUCUAGAGUACGCAUCAAACUUUCACGGCAUUUUCUUUUUAGCAUUUUUUUUGUUGAUCGUUGCUCAUCCCUCCUUUUUGUUGUUGGUUGUUUUUCCUUCACAUCCUUGUUAUCAUUCAUUGAACAACCAAAAUCAUCAACAACAUGAACCUGAAAUUUAACAAUAUAUAACAUGUUAUAUAACUACAGUGAAUAUAUCAUAACAUUCACAAGUCAAAAAACACAACACAUACAACGUUUGACGAUGUUGUCUCCAACAUUUCUAUUCAUCCAAUGCAAGAUCCUUGGAGAUUUCUCUAUUGCACCUUCGACCGGAAUGAAAUGCUCACAAAACCAUACCUAAAAAACUUGUAAUUCUUAUAAAUUACUCAUAAUGAAAUAACAAAUAUUCAACAAUUUAUUUUUCAAAUAAAUAAAUAACAAAUACCUGCAACAUGUAAACACAACCAUCAACAUAAACAUUGGUUGUAGUUGUACCUUUCUUCACAGCAUCCAAAGCUUUGCUCAAACUUUCUAACAAAUAACGAUACACUAAGCUACCCCGAC